UGGAAUUUCCCCCUAUUUCCCACUGUCUUCCCCUAAUCAAUCACUUAGAAUCCUUAGACCCGCUAUUGACUCACUCUUCCAUGUCAUGAUUAAACGACUCACAAUUGUUUACAGCAAUCCUUGGUCAUAUUAAGAGAAGGGAGUUCAGAUGCAAUAUAUCUAGAAUCUCUUAGAGAAAAUAGAAGAAAAGGAAAAUAUUAUCCUCUGUCUGGGCUGGGUACAUCUGACAGAUUAUCAAGGCUGGUCCAAGUGUGGGGCGAUGUUAUUUUAUAAUAGACAAUACCUAAUAUAUUUGCACUAUUCAUGUAGCAUAGAAGGAGAGAAUAUUACAGUUUUCCAUAUAUAAUGAGAUUGAUUUUUUAAUGGGCUUCAAAAAGACAUAAUAACUGUACACGAAUUGUAACAUAGAAUUUCCUUUCAGUAAAGAUUUUCAGAUACGUGGAUGCUUUUAAAUGAGAUGAAGUUAUUAUUCAAAUAUAUGCAUCUAGACCUUCAAGGGAAAAAAAAGAAAGAUGGCAUACUGCUCAAUAUCUGGGAUACUUGAGGAGCAGUUAGAGUUAGAGCCAGGGAGUUGGUCUGAAUGAUCUCGAGGUCUUUUUGAAUAGAAUUCUAUAUUUAGAAUUCUGUUGUGUUUAUUUUCUUCACAGACCCAGUGAACCUGGCAAGCCUAUUGUAAUUAGAAAUUACAAUUUAGAGCUGGAGCAAAAUGGAAUGGUUAAAUGUAGACACACCUAGGCAGCAGGCAGCCCUUCUGGCAGUCUGUUCUAUUGUGUUUUCUUCAGGAUUUCUAAUCCAAUUGCAUAUUUAAGAAACUUAAACAUUUUUAAAACCGAAAGAACUCAAGAGAGAAAUGUUUUUCUUUUAUGGGGCCUUGGUAUCUCCAAAAGAAAAGCAAAACCCUCCUGCCAAAGGAAAAUGUUUUUGUCGUAUUUUAGAUUUAUCGUUACACACGGGUGGGAGGGAUGGAAGAAACCCAACAUGUUUCUUGCUGUCAUAUUUCCUUUUUUAUACCUUUGUUUUAAAUGCUGUCAUUGAGUUCAGGGGCCAGGAGAGGGAGACGUUAAUAUGGAGAUCACAGCAUGGAUAUUUUUUGAGAGGUUUCUUUUGUUCUUAGUUCAGUUUCCACCAGAUUAGACUGGGAGUAUUGCUGAGGAGGCCACAGGACUGAGGGUUGUAAAAGUCAAGAAUCUUUGUUUUCAGUGAUAAUCUUAUAACAAAUGGGAGCCAGGUGUGCAAUAUUUGAGUUGGCUGCCGUUCAGGGUUUUUAUUUAUUUUUCUUUAGGUAUGCAACAACUAGGCAGGCUAAAAUGAAAAUGCAAUCUCAUAAUGCCUACUUUGGGUGGUGUUUAAAAUUAUUGAGUAAUUACAACAAAUUUUAAGGAAAAUAUGAAUAAAAACACAAGCCUUUGGGAUAAUGCAUAAACUUUGGAAUCCUCCCAAAUAUAAUAAGUCUUUCAUCCUCAACUGCUCAGAUCACAGGAGGCCACCCAUCUGGUUCAAACUCCUUCAGACAUACACUGUUAUAGGUCACUGACAGUAUUCAUGGAUUAUGGAGUCAAAGGGGUGGAAUAGACCUAGAAAUGAUCUAAUGAAGCUCUUCUUUUGACUACUCUGAAUGUCUGGCCCAGCUCAGGGGUGAAACGGAAAUUAGUGACCAGUUCUUCCACUUAAAAGCUCUGUUUGUAUUUUUGUCCUUAAUACUUUUGCUUUCAUUUCACAAUAGGACUAUCAGCAAAUUAGGGAGAAAAAUAGUUUUUAAAUGAUUACAGUUGAAUCCAUACACACCGUAACAUCCAACACUUUCCAUUUCUCAAAAUAUCAACAACUGAUGGAGCACUUCUGUGCCAGCCAUCUAUUUCCCCCAUCUUUUGAUUCCUGCAGCCUGAUUUCCCUUAAAUAAAAUUCCCACUCAUGUACUUAACAUUGGGCUGACUACAUUUACAAUUCUAUUGGAGUCAGAUCAGUCCAAUGAGAACGUCAUAUCGCCUGGGCCACCGUGAUUAGGUCUUGUCACUGGUCCCUGAAACAAAUAGGUCUGAGUUACCUGCAGGACUUUUACAAAUACACCCUUUAUACAGAUACCCUCUGGGUGCUGUGGCUAUUAGCAGUCCAGAGUAGAGAUGCAUUGUUGCUGGAAAGUGUCACAUGAGUAAAAGGGAAAGCAUCUGAAAAUGUAAGAUAUUCAGUGAAAAGUAAAGAUCAUAAAAGUACAAGGUAGGUUUCCAGAGGUGCCAAAUUAUGUAAGAGUUCAAAGAUGUAUUAGUGUUGUGUACAUUCUACUUCAUUACAUAUUUUUAUGGGUUCUUGUAGUAAUCAAAUUCUGUGUUCUUUCAUAUUAGGCUAACACCCCCAAACCAUUAUUUUUUUUAAAAAAAAUUAGGCAGUAAAUAAAGCUAUCAAAGCAUUUGGAUUGAUUUUUUUUCUUUUAUCCUCAUUUAAUUCUAAAAUAUUACCUUAUUUUAAAGGUGUUACUCUGAACAAAAUUAUUCUAAGAUACCACAAAAGGGGGUAUUCGAAAACUAAAAUAAUUACAGGAGAAAAGGAAAUAAUGUGUGGAUAUUUUUCACAUUCCAACUCUGUGUUAUGCUUAGAGAUGAUUACUAUGAGUAGGAAUCCAAUAGGGAGUUAAUCUGGUCUUAUUUCAAUUGUGUGUAUUCAUUGGAACAUAAAGCAUUCUUAUAUUUAUGGAGAAAAAUGUUGAGUUGUAUAUAAAAGUAGUCAGACCUAUUCAAGUACAUUUUUUGUCCUCUUUUUAGCAAAUAUCCUUUCUUUAUAUGCUUGAACUAUGUUCCCUUUUUGUUUUCCUGUUAUUGACACAGUAUGGUCUAAGCCCAUAAAGGAGAUAAUUUAAGGGCAACUUCAUACCUGAAAAGUUGAAAUCAUUGGUUUCCCCUUACAGAAGACUCCCUGGGGAAGAUAAUACAGGGAAUCAUGGGCAAUUUACAACUAGUUGUGAUAUGUAUCUGUCUGAUAUGAAAAAAUCAAUGGUUUCCUCCUUAAAAAAAAAAAAAAAAAAA
rnacentral:lncRNA from 1 species